rnacentral:rRNA from 3 species
GGACUACACGGGUAUCUAAUCCCGUUCGCUCCCCUGGCUUUCGCGCCUCAGCGUCAGAAGAGGGCCAGCACUUCGCUUUCGCCACCGGCGUUCCUUCCGAUAUCAACGCAUUUCACCGCUCCACCGGAAGUUCCAAGUGCCCCUACCUCCCUCAAGGCUGCCAGUAUCCAAGGCAAUUCUCCGGUUAAGCCGAAGUAUUUCACCCCGGACUUGGCAGUCCGCCUACGCGCCCUUUAAGCCCAGUGAUUCCGAACAACGUUCGCACGGUUCGUCUUACCGCGGCGGCUGGCAC